UAGGCGAGUAUCAGCUCGCGUUGAUUACGUCCCUGCCCUUUGUACACACCGCCCGUCGCUCCUACCGAUUGGGUGUGCUGGUGAAGUGUUCGGAUUGACUUUGACUGGGGCAACCUGGUCAUGGUUGAGAAGUUCAUUAAACCCUCCCACCUAGAGGAAGGAGAAGUCGUAACAAGGUUUCCGUAGGUGAACCUGCGGAAGGAUCAUUG
rnacentral:ncRNA from 1 species